GAUGAGUGAGACUGCUCUGCUUUCCUCAGCUGUGCCCCAGGGCCCACUGCCUUCCUCCCAGACAGCUCAGGGGCCCAGUCUGUGAGCAUGGCCCGUGUGCACAGGAGGAAGGCCACACACGCAUGCUGCAAGAAUGAGUGACUGACUGAAUGAAUGAGCACGUUUUGCUGGUUAGAGCCUGCAGGCAACAAUUUGGACAGCAAAUUGCCUUUCUGCAGUUGUGUUAUGGCUACCAUUGCAAUUAAGAAAUGGAAAAUGAACUUCUGAGAUCCAAUGCAGUCGGCUUUCAUCAGCCUCAGAACCAUGUAUGGAAAGAAAACAAAAUACAGAUGUAAGAGGAUGGCAAAAAGAGAAAACCCAGCAAAAGCACUCAGAAGUGGUGCAAGAACCCUGGGUGAAAACCAACUUUGGGAAAAUAGCAGCGGAAGACAUCUGCCAUCCGUGAACAGGCAGUGGUUUAGUUGGCUUCAUACCUGUGUUCCCUCAUUUAUUUUGAGUAAAGAAAAAAAUCAGUAUUUCUCUUUUGUGAAAUGUUUGGGAAUUAGAAAAAAAUGUUUGUUGAAGUAUAAGAAGAAAAAUGCUGGGGCCGGGGGUUUAGCUCAGUGGUUUCGCCGCCUGCUCCACAAGCGCAAGGACGCAAGUUCAAUCCCCGGUACCAAAAAAACCAAAAAACCAAAAAAAAGAAAAGUGCUUCAGGAAUUGUGCCAGGCAUUCUUAAU
ensembl:lncRNA